rnacentral:rRNA from 1 species
AUUGAACGCUGGCGGCAGGCUUAACACAUGCAAGUCGAGCGGAGAUGAGGUGCUUGCACCUUAUCUUAGCGGCGGACGGGUGAGUAAUGCUUAGGAAUCUGCCUAUUAGUGGGGGACAACAUUCCGAAAGGAAUGCUAAUCCCGCAUACGUCCUACGGGAGAAAGCAGGGGAUCUUCGGACCUUGCGCUAAUAGAUGAGCCUAAGUCCGAUUAGCUAGUUGGUGGGGUAAAGGCCUACCAAGGCGACGAUCGGUAACUGGUCGGAGAGGAUGAUCAGUCACACUGGAACUGGGACACGGUCCAGACUCCUACGGGAGGCAGCAGUGGGGAAUAUUGGACAAUGGGGGCAACCCUGAUCCAGCCAUGCCGCGGGUGUGAAGAAGGCCUUCGGGUUGUAAAGCACUUUAAGCUGGGAGGAAGGCUCCAUGGCUAAUAUCCAUGGGGAUUGACGUUACCAGCAGAAUAAGCACCGGCAAACUUCGUGCCAGCCGCCGCCGUAACAC